rnacentral:rRNA from 1 species
GUCUAUAGCCAUUCCACCUUGAAUGUACUUGAUCUCCCCAAUCUCAGAAGCAAAGCAGGAUUGAGUCUGGUUGGUACUUGGAUGGGAGAAGUAUAAUGUGAGACAAAUGAGUAAUUUUGAAUCUUCAAACA